rnacentral:rRNA from 1 species
AGGACGAACGCUGGCGGCGUGCUUAACACAUGCAAGUCGAGCGGAAAGGCCCUUCGGGGUACUCGAGCGGCGAACGGGUGAGUAACACGUGAGUAAUCUGCCCCUAGCUCUGGGAUAGCUCCGGGAAACCGGGAUUAAUACCAGAUACGACCACUUUAGACAUCUGUUGUGGUGGAAAGAAUUUUGGCUAGGGAUGAGCUCGCGGCCUAUCAGCUUGUUGGUGAGGUAACGGCUCACCAAGGCGACGACGGGUAGCCGGCCUGAGAGGGCGACCGGCCACACUGGGACUGAGACACGGCCCAGACUCCUACGGGAGGCAGCAGUGGGGAAUAGUUGCGCAAUGGGCGAAAGCCUGACGCAGCGACGCCGCGUGGGGAUGAAGGCCUUCGGGUUGUAAACCCCUUUCAGCAGGGACGAAGCGAAAGUGACGGUACCUGCAGAAGAAGCGCCGGCUAACUACGUGCCAGCAGCCGC